AUAUACAGACAUCAGCCACAAGACCAAGUCUGACUUAUGGCCAGUCAUACACAGAUGGAAACAAAAGACAGAUUCCUUUGAACUUGUCAAUGCAUAUGGAUUAUUUAGAAGCAUGACUGGUGUUGGUGGUAGACCAGAAGUGGUUAUAGAAGGCAGCAAUGAUCUUGAUGGGCCCUGGCUGGAAUAUCACUUUCGCUAUAAACCUGGUAAUUUAUCGGGACCCCCUCCAGUAGUCGGUAAGUUUCUUUUUGUUAUUU